UACGAAGGGGGCUAGCGUUGCUCGGAAUCACUGGGCGUAAAGGGUGCGUAGGCGGGUCUUUAAGUCGGGGGUGAAAUCCUGGAGCUCAACCCCAGAACUGCCUUCGAUACUGGCGAUCUUGAGUCCGGGAGAGGUGAGUGGAACUCCGAGUGUAGAGGUGAAAUUCGUAGAUAUUCGGAAGAACACCAGUGGCGAAGGCGGCUCACUGGCCCGGUACUGACGCUGAGGUGCGAAAGCGUGGGGAGCAAACAGG
rnacentral:rRNA from 1 species